UUGCUUGCUUCAGUGGCACAAUUGCUAAAUUUGAAGUGAUCGAAGCUUAGCAUGGAGCCUGCACAGAGAUGACACAUAUUUAGGAAGUGUUCCACCAUGUCUUG
rnacentral:snRNA from 1 species